CCAGGAUGAACCAUCACCCCUGGCCCCAUGGCCGGCAUCACCCAUGGGUGCCCCCGCUCUGCAUCACACAGCAUCCCCGGUGCCACCGGGCUGGGGGCCGGAAUUCGCCCUCGGGGACCCCGGGACACGCCGGUUCCCAGCCCCUCGGGGCAGCCCCGCGCUGCGCAUCUCCCCGCGGACACGCGUGGGGCGCUCCCGCUGCCCGUUCGUCUAUAUAAGGCCGGGAGCACCGGCCGGGGUCCGUCCCGCCGCCCGGCCCCGCCGCAUUCUUCUGCCUUGUAUGGGCCGGGACGGGCCGGGACGGGGCGGGCGGCACCGCCCCGGGCCCCGCUGCCCGCCCUAGGGCCGCUCCGCGGGCCGGGUCCCGGCAGAGCAGCGCCGGCCGCCCCGCAGCAUCGCGCUUCGGCUCAGGCUCCGUGCGGCUGUAGGAGGAGUUUGUGGUCACCUCCCCCUCUGAGGCGCUGCGACCAGGUCCCCACUGAGGUGAGCCCUGUAAUUCCCUUGGGAAUCAACAGCGCAGGGCACGUUGUGCUGAGGACCGGCUGCUGCGGGGUCCUGUCUCCCAGCCCCACCGGGCACCAGAAGGGUGCUGGGUGCUGGGUCUGUUUCACGGUGAUGGAUGGUGUCUGUGCAGGGUCUUCUCGUGGUGACCCCCGAAGCUGUGCUCUGGGGGUUUGCUGGUGCCUCAUGGGCACGGUGGGGUCCUUGUUCACUGAAUGUGGUGGGAAGGAGCUAGUUCUGAAUGCUCAGGACCAAGCCCCACCGGGUCUCUGGUGUGAGGCAGGAGCUGAGGGAGGGUUGGGAUUAAUCUGUCCUGGGGUUACUGCACACUUGUCCCUGGCUCCUGGUGCUGCCCUGCUCCUUCCCAUCCACACAUGGAACCCACUCAUUGGCUCCAGUGCCAGCGGAUGCACAUCACGAGAUCUCUGCCAGGAGCUUGUGGUGGAGAGGAGCUGUGAGCAGAUGAGGUCCCUCUCCGGCUGUGCUGGAGACUGCAGGGCAGCCCCGCGUGGUGCCAGCCCCCCUGCCAGCCCCCU
rnacentral:lncRNA from 1 species